ACAACCAAAGUUUGACAUAGGGUGGUAGCCAUCUUUGUAUUUCGGUAGCUGCAUUUCAUGUUGCCGUUGGCAGUUGAGCUCUUUCCUUUGUUACCAUCUAACUCCAGCGUGGGAAGCAGCAAAUACUCGUAGUAGCUUGAAAACAUCGAUCUUGAGUCCACAUUUAAAAGAAGCCAAAAGCAACAUCAUCUACUCCCUCCGUCCGUCAACAGGGCAUUUUUGGGUUUUCCCGACAUACCCGCAGUCCCCCCUUCUUUUUCCUCAUUCUCCUCUCCCCCACGCCGGCGACGCCCCAUGCUUCCCGCUCCCCCUCCCUUGCCGCCGCCUUGCUUCCCCCACGCCGCGCUACUGCCUCGUUCCCCUCCGUCAAGUGCCGAUUUGGUGUCGAUCUGCGGCGAGCCGGGGCAGCGGGAGCGUGCCGGAGCAGAGGGAGCGUACCGGAGCACCGGCGAGCCGGAGCUGGGCCUCGACGAGGAGGUCGGCUUCUCCAAGCGCGGGAGCGGACACGGCGGUCGUGACAGGCAGAGCAGAGCGAAGCCGGCGCCUACGCACAACCACCGCCUCGUUCUUCCCCGCGGCUGCCGGCGGCCGGAGCUUCCGCCCGUGCACGAGUCGUGCCCAGUACAAUGAGUCAGAUGUGGUUGCAGAUUCUAGCGCUGAAGCUUGUCAAAUAAUUGCAACCACAAUCCAUGGUUGAAAUGGCCUGCCUGAACAGGUCGUAGCAGGAACCCGGCCGUUACCUUCUCUGGAGUUGCUCUUGCACAUGCCGACACAUGGAGUGAGGUGGUUACUUACUGAUGGUCAGGUCAGCAGGAGCUUGGUGCUUAAAUCUGGAGGAUCCAACAAUGCGCUUACUCAAUUAUCCUGUGCAUACGUUUUGUCGCGAUUAAUAGCUGUGAACUUUUGUUUUGGCUUUCUCCCUUUCUGAACCGGAACCUGUCUGUGUUUUUCAGUGUGAAAUGACGCACGUACGUACUGGUGCGUUAUCCUUUCAUGUCUUGUGACCAUCAUCUAUUAUAUCUUGUUAUUUAGCAUGAAUAUAUGUUGGACCAUGUGUGAGCUUGA